ensembl:lncRNA
UUUUAUUUAACCUGCUUUGCCUGAUCCUUUCAAAACAAUAUCACUUUACUCUAAGGGAACGUCUGUUUCUAUUCCUGUAGGUUUUAAUCAUCAGGACGACUCGUCGUAAACAACAUCUCUAAAAAUGAACACAGGAGAGAACACUGUUCAGAUGAGUUGCUGUGAAACUUGGGUACAUGCUUAAAGAGAGAUGACAGAGCAUCCGUCAAUGUAGGCGGAUAAUCAUCAUUGACAGGCUGAAAUCAUUAACUAAAUGUAAGCAAAUUUCAAGAGCACUUGUGCUGGACCAGAGAGUGCGCACAG